rnacentral:rRNA from 1 species
AGUGAACGCUGGCGGUAGGCCUAACACAUGCAAGUCGAACGGCAGCACAGUAAGAGCUUGCUCUUACGGGUGGCGAGUGGCGGACGGGUGAGGAAUACAUCGGAAUCUACUUUUUCGUGGGGGAUAACGUAGGGAAACUUACGCUAAUACCGCAUACGACGUACGUGUGAAAGCAUGGGAUCUUCGGACCUUGCGCGAUUGAAUGAGCCGAUGUCGGAUUAGCUAGUUGGCGGGGUAAAGGCCCACCAAGGCGACGAUCCGUAGCUGGUCUGAGAGGAUGAUCAGCCACACUGGAACUGAGACACGGUCCAGACUCCUACGGGAGGCAGCAGUGGGGAAUAUUGGACAAUGGGCGAAAGCCUGAUCCAGCCAUACCGCGUGGGUGAAGAAGGCCUUCGGGUUGUAAAGCCCUUUUGUUGGGAAAGAAAAGCAGCAGGUUAAUACCUCGCUGUUCUGACGGUACCAAAAGAAUAAGCACCGGCUAACUUCGUG